UCUAUUUUUUGCAAUGCAUUGCGCAAUGCUUUUUCCUGUUUCGGUCGUCUGGCAAUUUGUUUUGUCACGCCUUGUUGAGAGAUUUUCUAGAUCACAACUCGAAACGAGAUGCAGAUGGGCGCCCACACGGCAAAAGGUGCUCUCUCACUCAAAAGUAAGUUCAACCAGAGCGCUGGAGAUGUAUAUUUUCACAAUCAUUGAAGUAUCUUCGUGUAUUUAAUUUGAAAUGGAAAACCAAAGCUGAAACCCAACUCCCUCCAUCCAACGUGUGUUCUAUAAAAUCGAAUCAAAACGAACCCAAAAUUUAGCAAAUGCGCCAUUUGAAGUUGCCUGAAUUUGGCACGCCUUUGGAUUUCACCCCAGCACCCAUUUGAGAGUGUGUGUUAUCAUAUUAAAACUUGACCUACAUACGAGCUUAAUAACCGGUAUGUUACACUAAGGAAACUUUUCGUUGGGUUGCCACAGUCACUUAGAAACUUUGCAACAAAUUGGGUCCUGGAAAGUUUUCUAAUGGACAAAAAUUAGUUUAAGAUUAUAUACUCAUAUAAUUUUUGAGCUGCUGUUUUUAUUAGAUUUUAUUUCUUGAAGAAAAAUAAAUAAUAUAAGUGAUGGCUUUAUAGUUCUUCUCUGUA